UAGUUGCAGGGUGUAGACCCGAAACCGGGUGAUCUAUCCAUGAGCAGGUUGAAGGUUGGGUAACACUAACUGGAGGACCGAACCCACUGUCUUUGAAAAGCCAGGGGAUGACUUGUGGAUAGGGGUGAAAGGCUAAUCAAACUCGGUGAUAGCUGGUUCUCCCCGAAAGCUAUUUAGGUAGCGCCUCGGACGAACACCAUUGGGGGUAGAGCACUGUUUCGGCUAGGGGGUCAUCCCGACUUACCAAACCGAUGCAAACUCCGAAUACCUACAAGUGCCGAGCAUGGGAGACACACGGCGGGUGCUAACGUCCGUCGUG
rnacentral:rRNA from 1 species